rnacentral:rRNA from 1 species
AGCGAACGCUGGCGGCAGGCCUAAUACAUGCAAGUCGAGCGCACCUUCGGGUGAGCGGCGGACGGGUGAGUAACGCGUGGGAAUGUGCCCUUUGGUACGGAACAACUGAGGGAAACUUCAGCUAAUACCGUAUGUGCCCUUCGGGGGAAAGAUUUAUCGCCAUUGGAGCAGCCCGCGUUGGAUUAGGUAGUUGGUGAGGUAAAGGCUCACCAAGCCUACGAUCCAUAGCUGGCUGAGAGGAUGAUCAGCCACACUGGGACUGAGACACGGCCCAGACUCCUACGGGAGGCAGCAGUAGGGAAUCUUGCGCAAUGGGCGAAAGCCUGACGCAGCCAUGCCGCGUGAAUGAUGAAGUCUUAGGAUUGUAAAAUUCUUUCACGGGGAAGAUAAUGACGGUACCCGGAGAAGAAGCCCCGCUAACUUCGUGCCAGCAGCCGCAAGU